GAAAUGCGAUAAGUAAUGUGAAUUGCAGAAUUCCGUGAAUCAUCGAAUCUUUGAACGCACAUUGCGCCCUCUUGCAUUCCGGGGGGCAUGCCUGUCCGAGCGUCAUUACGCACCCUCAAGCCCGGCUUGUGUGAUGGGCCCCGGCGUCUCGUUCGCGAGACGGGCCCGAAAGGCAGCGGCGGCGUCGACCCGAUGAGCCCGAGCGUAUGGGGACUUCUGUCACACGUUCGCGGUGCGGACCGGCGCCUGCUUGACUUUUCUGAUUAUCCAGGUUGACCUCGGAUCAGGUAGGGAUACCCGCCGAACUUAAGC
rnacentral:misc_RNA from 1 species